rnacentral:tRNA from 1 species
AUUUAAUUAGUUUAGAAGAAAAUAAAAGUUUGUGGGGCUUUAGACAAUUGUGUAAUUAUUAAAUA